AUUGAACGCUGGCGGCAGGCCUAACACAUGCAAGUCGAACGGUAGCACAGAGAGCUUGCUCUCGGGUGACGAGUGGCGGACGGGUGAGUAACGUCUGGGAAACUGCCCGAUGGAGGGGGAUAACUACUGGAAACGGUAGCUAAUACCGCAUAACGUCGCAAGACCAAAGUGGGGGACCUUCGGGCCUCACACCAUCGGAUGUGCCCAGAUGGGAUUAGCUAGUAGGUGGGGUAAUGGCUCACCUAGGCGAAGAUCCCAAGCUGGUCUGAGAGGAUGACCGGCCACACUAGAACUGAGACACGGUCCAGACUCCUACGGGAGGCAGCGGUGGGGAAUAUUGCACAAUGGGCGCAAGCCUGAUGCAGCCAUGCCGCGUGUAUGAAGAAGGCCUUCGGGUUGUAAAGUACUUUCAGCGGGGAGGAAGGCGGUGAAGUUAAUAGCUUCACCGAUUGACGUUACCCGCAGAAGAAGCACCGGCUAACUCCGUGCCAGCCGCCGCGGUAA
rnacentral:rRNA from 1 species